UACGAGGGGGGCGAGCGUUGUUCGGAAUUAUUGGGCGUAAAGGGUGCGUAGGCGGUUUGGUAAGUCUUAUGUGAAAUCUACAGGCUCAACUUGUAGUCUGCAUGAGAAACUGCCGGGCUUGAGUAUGGGAGAGGUGAGUGGAAUUCCUGGUGUAGCGGUGAAAUGCGUAGAUAUCAGGAGGAACACCUGUGGCGAAAGCGGCUCACUGGACCAUAACUGACGCUGAUGCCCGAAAGCUAGGGGAGCAAACAGG
rnacentral:rRNA from 1 species